rnacentral:rRNA from 1 species
AGUGAACGGCUGGCGGCGUGCUUAACACAUGCAAGUCGAACGGAUUUAAUAAGCUUGCUUAUUAAGUUAGUGGCGCACGGGUGAGUAAUGUAUAGCUAACCUGCCCUUUAUGGGGGACAACAGUUGGAAACGACUGCUAAUACCCCAUAUUCCUUCGUAUCACAAGGUACGUUGGGAAAGAUUUAUUGCUAAAGGAUGGGGCUUUAUUGUAUCAGCUAGUUGGUGGGGUAAUGGCCUACCAAGGCGAUGACGCAUACCUGGUCUGAGAGGAUGAUCAGGCACACUGGAACUGAGACACGGUCCAGACUCCUACGGGAGGCAGCAGUGGGGAAUAUUGCACAAUGGGGGAAACCCUGAUGCAGCAACGCCGCGUGGAGGAUGACGCAUUUCGGUGUGUAAACUCCUUUUAUAAGGGAAGAUAAUGACGGUACCUUAUGAAUAAGCACCGGCUAACUCCGUG